GAUAUGUUGGGUCAGCUAGGACACGCACCAAAUUAGGGAAACUUUGCUUUUUGAUCGUCGCCACCUAUGGGAGGAUAGCAGAAACCCUAUUUUGCACCGUUUUGCUCGAAAUAAAUGAUUUUUAAACAAAUUGUGUUCGGUUUGAAAUUAAAGCCAAUUGGGAAGCAUCUCCUGUGUAAAUUUUUUGAAGCUCAAUUUGUCCUUGAAAAUUAACAAGAAAGAGAGCAAAAUGAAAAGUCUUUUGUAUCAAAAUUUGGGAGAAAACUAAGAUUGCCGGUUCGUACAAGCGAUGAAGACUGACUCUCGUUCACUUUGGCAGAACUCGUGACACAGUCCGGAUCGUUUUGGAAGUAUUUUUACGACCGUGAUAAUUAGCGUCCUCUGAUCGUCGUCAAUUGCGAUCAGGUGAAAUCGUGGCAGUGAUAAUUUUUGAAAAAUUAACAGCACUAAGUGCAUCUGUGCAAGUCGAGGUGUGAAGAAUUUUCGAGGCAGAUCUGUGAUCGAGCCUAGUUGGCAGGAGAAAUUUGCAGGUGUGAGGCCGCCGCAAUCAGAACGAGUGAGAAAGGAACCCAUCAACGUGGGUGGCUUAUCUGGAGCUGGAAAGCUCAAACGUGGUCGUCUGGGAGCGCAAUCCUGGAUCGGAAGCAGUUUUUUUUGGAACCGGAAGUGAAGUGUUUGUUAACCUUGAACUUUGAGAAUCUUUUGGUGUGUCGGAAUUUGGGGACAGCCCGUCGCUUUUCGCUGUUGGCACAGCUCUAUUGCCACCCCCAGCGGCAACCGGAAAAACGUCACACCGGUAACGCCUUAGUCGGUCUAGGACGCCAUCUCGUAGCACUUUAGCGAGAGCACGUUGGGAUCGAACGCUAGAGGUCAGUGUGGGAUCGGAUAACGCUACACGUCCGUAACCCCUCUGCCACGUGUUUGCUUUCGGGGUGGGUUAGCUUCGGCUCAAUACUCCCACGACUUCCGGAAACGCACGCCUGAGUUGGUAGCAGGUCCUUGUUGGAUCAAUGACGCCCCUCAGCAUACACUGACCCACCAACACAUGUGCAUUUGACCGAUUUAAGCCCCGACAACUAGCACCAUCUAUCGGCAGGACGCCAAAGCCGCAACAACAACACGCGCCGGCACUCAACCGUACGCCUGAGCCGGUAACGCCUCGCCUCGCCUCACACGCUUCAAGAAUCGGCCCGCCUUCGCCGAUCGGUCCAGCCGACAUCGGACCGGAAUUGUCGACACAUCGUGGGAGCACCGCACAAAUCGCAAGUAACGAACUCCGUAGGGACGUUUAGGAACCGGAUAGGGAAAUAGGGACGUUUAGCGGUCAGAAGGAGUAGGGAAAAAGGAUUAGGAUCACACCUGGACUGAGUUGAAUUGUCCACGCAAAAGAUGGAGGUUUUUUAGCUUGGC